UAGACCUCGGAAGGCUACCAAGAUUCGCCACGAGUUAGGGUGAAUUUGAGCAAUACACGCUCGGUGAAGUUUUAGGACCUCCUUAUAGAAGUCAUCUAAAGGGAACCGAAGACCGGCCUUUAAUUGUUCUUCGUAGACCAUGAUCAUAUCGUUUUCUUCGAAGAAGUGAUCGGCACGAAGAUCGCCGUGGCAUUUAAUUAGCUCGUACGAGUCAGGCCGAAUGUUGUAUUCUUGGCUAAAUGAUUGCAGAUCGGAUACUCGAAGAACCGACGGUAGCUCAUCUAUAGGGAGGGUCUCCCUCCCUGAAACAGGUGCACGCCUUAAUGGUAUGACUCGCCCCCGACCUGGAACGGAAGCCCUGGGAGGUUCUCGUUGAAUGCUUGGCCCGACUGCCUCUUCUUCAUCAGACGAUGACCACGAGAACUGAAUGGAAGGAGGACUCGCCGCUCUCUGACCUUCGGCACCACUCAUUUUCA
rnacentral:misc_RNA from 1 species